rnacentral:rRNA from 1 species
AUUGAACGCUGGCGGCGUGCUUAACACAUGCAAGUCGAUCGGUAACGCGGGGGCAACCCUGGCGACGAGAGGCGGACGGGUGAGGAACGCUUGGGAAUCUGCCUAUCAGCGGGGGACAACACGGGGAAACUCGUGCUAAUACCGCAUACGCUCUACGGAGGAAAGCCGGGGACCGCAAGGCCUGGCACUGAUAGAUGAGCCCAAGCCGGAUUAGCUAGUUGGCGGGGGUAACGGCCCACCAAGGCGACGAUCCGUAGCUGGUCUGAGAGGACGAUCAGCCACACUGGAACUGAGACACGGUCCAGACUCCUACGGGAGGCAGCAGUGGGAAUUUUGGACAACGGGGGCAACCCUGAGCCAGCCAUGCCGCGUGAGUGAAGAAGGCCUUCGGGUUGUAAAGCUCUUUCGGCCGGGAAGAAAUCGCACGGGCUAAUACCCUGUGUGGAUGACGGUACCGGAAUAAGAAGCACCGGUUAACUACGUGCCAGCCGCCGCCGUAAAAC